UGGGGAAUAUUGGACAAUGGGCGCAAGCCUGAUCCAGCCAUGCCGCGUGAGUGAUGAAGGCCUUAGGGUUGUAAAGCUCUUUCGCCAGGGACGAUAAUGACGGUACCUGGAUAAGAAGCCCCGGCUAACUUCGUGCCAGCAGCCGCGGUAAUACGAAGGGGGCUAGCGUUGUUCGGAAUCACUGGGCGUAAAGCGCAUGCAGGCGGACUGAUAAGUCAGGGGUGAAAGCCCGAGGCUCAACCUCGGAACUGCCUUUGAUACUGUCAGUCUUGAGUCCGGGAGAGGUGAGUGGAACUGCGAGUGUAGAGGUGAAAUUCGUAGAUAUUCGCAAGAACACCAGUGGCGAAGGCGGCUCACUGGCCCGGUACUGACGCUGAGAUGCGAAAGCGUGGGGAGCAAACA
rnacentral:rRNA from 1 species